UGGGGAAUCUUGCGCAAUGGGCGAAAGCCUGACGCAGCAACGCCGCGUGCGGGAUGAAGGCCUUCGGGUUGUAAACCGCUUUCAGUAGGGACGAAAUUGACGGUACCUACAGAAGAAGCCCCGGCCAACUACGUGCCAGCAGCCGCGGUAACACGUAGGGGGCGAGCGUUGUCCGGAUUUAUUGGGCGUAAAGAGCUCGUAGGCGGCUCAGUAAGUCGGGUGUGAAAACUCUGGGCUCAACCCAGAGACGCCACCCGAUACUGCUGUGGCUAGAGUCCGGUAGGGGAGCGUGGAAUUCCUGGUGUAGCGGUGAAAUGCGCAGAUAUCAGGAGGAACACCAGCGGCGAAGGCGGCGCUCUGGGCCGGAACUGACGCUGAGGAGCGAAAGCGUGGGUAGCAAACAGG
rnacentral:rRNA from 1 species